AUGCGACGGGGCAUAAUUUCCCCCCUUGUGCAUAAUCGGACGCAACGGGGCAUAAUAUUUCUUCUUCGAGAUCACCGGCUAGAGGCCCCGCCGGCCGCCGCCGUGGCCGGAGCUCCAGGCGCGCCCGGCGCGGUGGACGCCGAGGUGGAACCUCAGCAUGGCCGCGACGAAGGCGCCAGCCUGCUCCGCGUCCGGGGCCAGCACCCCGACGACGCCGCGCACCGUGCGCUCGCGGAGCGCGUCGCCCGCGGCCAGCAGCACGCGGAGCGACCGCCCCACCGCGGCCACGGCCUCGUCGGCCUGGACGCCGUUCCGCGGGUGCUGCCGGCGCUGGCGCAGCGCCUCCAGCACGCGUGGCCCCGCCAGCGACUCCUGCACGGCCGCCACCUCCCGGUCCACCUCCUUCUCGGCCGCCGCCGUGGCCGCGCGCAGGUCCUCCAGCUCGCGGCGCUGGCGCGGGCCCACGGCGCCGCCGUCCACGAAGCGGAACACCAGCGCGGGCCGCCACCCCCACGCCCACAGGAAGGUGCGCUCCAGCGGGUUGAGCCAGCGCUGGUCGAGCGCCGCCACCACGUCGCGGUCGGCGAGGCUCGCCUUGUGCUCGUAGUAGGUGGCCACGUGGUCCAUGGCGGCGUCCACGAGCGGCGCCAGCGCGUCGCGCCGGCGCGCCCCGAGCGCGGCCGUGAGGUCGGACACCAUCUCCUCCUCGCGGCCCACCCAGGCGUCGUAGAAAGCCACCAUGUCACCAGCGUGCGCCAUGUACCAACUACCAACUGCGGCGUUCUUGGGGUGCGGCGGCAUCUUGCUGGGCGCGGGAGGGCUGGCAUAAAUCGGCGCGUUUUCUUGGCCUGGAAGGGUUGGGACGUGGUUUGCUUAGGCGCGGAGGCAAUCAUGCUCGUGCACGGCAGUCGGCAGGGGAAGACGGAUAAGCUUGGGCGGUCGCGAGGAAGGAGACGACCCUUAGAUCAGACAGUGCGCAGGCCGGUGGCCUCGUGCUGGCAUGCUCUGGUUUGUUUACUCCCAUGCAGUGCAGCAGUCGAAUAG
rnacentral:rRNA from 1 species